rnacentral:rRNA from 1 species
UACGGAGGGUGCAAGCGUUGUCCGGAAUCACUGGGCGUAAAGGGCGCGUAGGCGGCCUGGUAAGUAGGGGGGUGAAAUCCUGCGGCUUAACCGCAGGGGCUGCCUUCUAAACUGUCAGGCCUGAGCACGGUAGAGGCAGAUGGAAUUCCCGGUGUAGCGGUGGAAUGCGUAGAGAUCGGGAAGAACAUCAGUGGCGAAGGCGGUCUGCUGGGCCGAAACUGACGCUGAGGAGCGAAAGCGUGGGGGAGCAAACAGG